AUUUACUAACUCUUUUUCCCUUUCCUUCUGGCUUCAUGUUAUACUGGUACUAUAUUUGAUUUGUUAUAUUUCUAAUGGACAUGUUUAAAGCAAUGUUUUGUUUGUUCAUUCUUAUAGUAUUUACGUUGAUACCUAACCAACUAAAUUAUUUACCAUUAAUAGAAGUAGCUGGAUCAAUUUAUGUUGUUCAUCUAUUGGAAAG
rnacentral:misc_RNA from 1 species